rnacentral:rRNA from 1 species
UACGUAGGUGGCAAGCGUUGUCCGGAUUUACUGGGCGUAAAGAGCGCGCAGGCGGUCGUUCCAGUCGCGUGUGAAAGCCCCCGGCUCAACUGGGGAGGGUCACGCGAUACUGUUCGACUCGAAGGCAGGAGAGGGAAGUGGAAUUCCCGGUGUAGUGGUGAAAUGCGUAGAUAUCGGGAGGAACACCAGUGGCGAAGGCGACUUCCUGGCCUGUUCUUGACGCUGAGGCGCGAAAGCUAGGGUAGCAAACGGG